AUAAGACCGGGACAACCCUUGGAAACGAGGGCUAAUACCGGAUAACUUUCUACUUUGGCAUCGGAGAAGAAAGAAAGGUGGCCUCUGAAUAUGCUACCGUUUAUGGAUGGAUCCGCGUCUGAUUAGCUAGUUGGUGGGGUAAAGGCCUACCAAGGCGACGAUCAGUAGCCGGCCUGAGAGGGUGAACGGCCACACUGGGACUGAGACACGGCCCAGACUCCUACGGGAGGCAGCAGUGGGGAAUCUU
rnacentral:rRNA from 1 species